rnacentral:rRNA from 5 species
UUGGAGGGCAAGUCUGGUGCCAGCAGCCGCGGUAAUUCCAGCUCCAAUAGCGUAUAUUAAAGUUGUUGCAGUUAAAAAGCUCGUAGUUGAAUUUCGGGGUUAGUAGGUUGGUCAUGCCUCUGGUAUGUACUGGUCUCACUGAUUCCUCCUUCCUGAUGAACCGUAAUGCCAUUAAUUUGGUGUUGCGGGGAAUUUGGACUGUUACUUUGAAAAAAUUAGAGUGUUUAAAGCAAGCUAACGCUUGAAUACAUUAGCAUGGAAUAAUGAAAUAGGACGUUCGAUCCUAUUUUGUUGGUUUCUAGGAUUGACGUAAUGAUUAAUAGGGAUAGUUGGGGGCAUUAGUAUUCAAUUGUCAGAGGUGAAAUUCUUGGAUUUAUUGAAGACUAACUACUGCGAAAGCAUUUGCCAAGGAUGUUUUCAUUAAUCAAGAACGAAAGUUAGGGGAUCGAAGACGAUCAGAUACCGUCGUAGUCUUAACCAUAAACUAUGCCGACUAGGGAUCGGAUGAUGUUAAUUUUUUAAUGACUCAUUCGGCGCCUUACGGGAAAC